ACUCCUACGGGAGGCAGCAGUGGGGAAUCUUGCGCAAUGGGCGAAAGCCUGACGCAGCCAUGCCGCGUGAAUGAUGAAGGUCUUAGGAUUGUAAAAUUCUUUCACCGGGGACGAUAAUGACGGUACCCGGAGAAGAAGCCCGCUAACUUCGUGCCAGCAGCCGCGGUAAUACGAAGGGGCGUAGCGUUGCUCGGAAUUACUGGGCGUAAAGGGAGCGUAGGCGGACUGUUUAGUCAGAGGUGAAAGCCCAGGGCUCAACCUUGGAAUUGCCUUUGAUACUGGCAGUCUUGAGUACGGAAGAGGUAUGUGGAACUCCGAGUGUAGAGGUGAAAUUCGUAGAUAUUCGGAAGAACACCAGUGGCGAAGGCGACAUACUGGUCCGUUACUGACGCUGAGGCUCGAAAGCGUGGGGAGCAAACAGGAUUAGAUACCCUGGUAGCUAC
rnacentral:rRNA from 1 species